rnacentral:rRNA from 1 species
CUAAGGCUGAUGGCGACCGGCGCACGGGUGAGUAACACGUAUCCAACCUGCCGAUAACUCGGGGAUAGCCUUUCGAAGGAAAGAUUAAUACCCGAUGGUAUAAUAAAACCGCAUGGUUUAAUUAUUAAAGAAUUUCGGUUAUCGAUGGGGAUGCGUUCCAUUAGGCAGUUGGUGAGGUAACGGCUCACCAAACCUUCGAUGGAUAGGGGUUCUGAGAGGAAGGUCCCCCACAUUGGAACUGAGACACGGUCCAA